CAGUCUGGAGGAAGGGAGGCCCAGGGAAGACCUUAUCACUCUCUACAACUGUUUGAAAGGAAGCUGAAGUGAGCUGGGUGCUGAUCUCUUCUCCUUGGUAACAGUGAUAGCAGGAGAGAGAAACGUGCAUGCUAACCACAGGCAGAGCUGGACCUUAAAAACUUUAAGUGCUGGACAGAGCAAACAUGUGGGACACUCUGGGACAAAGCAAGUGGUGAAGAGAUAUGCACAAAUCCACCCUACUGCAGAUCUGGAACAAAAUGUGUCCACUCUAUUGAGCAGACCAUGCCUGGAUAGGUUAUGUUGCUCAUGUGAAAGAGACAGCAACAUUCUUGCUGAGCAGCCAUCUCCUGAAUUAGGCCAAGCAGGAGAAGGACAUGAAAAGAACUAAAAGGAUCAAUGCAGAAGGUGACAAGAACAUUCAUCAAAGCUGCCACAGUAUCAAGGAUCAGAAGGCCCAGAUCCCAGCUUGAUCCUGUUAGCAGAGGAAAACUGGGAGAAAGGCACCAUCCCACUGAGUCUGAUGCACAGUCUCCAGGUAGAAUAAUUGGUUCCCUUCAAAUGACCACCACGUACAUAAAUUUCCUUUGUACCAAA